rnacentral:rRNA from 1 species
UACGAAGGGUGCAAACGUUGCUCGGAAUUAUUGGGCGUAAAGCGCACGUAGGCGGUAUUGCAAGUCGGAUGUGAAAUCCCUCGGCUUAACCAAGGAAGUGCAUCCGAAACUGCUGUACUUGAGUACGAAAGAGGAUCGCGGAAUUCCCGGUGUAGAGGUGGAAUUCGUAGAUAUCGGGAGGAACACCAGUGGCGAAGGCGGCGAUCUGGGUCGAUACUGACGCUGAGGUGCGAAAGCGUGGGGAGCAAACAGG